rnacentral:lncRNA from 1 species
AUGGCUGGCCAUAAACUUACUAUAAAAUCCGUUGAUUGGGUAUCUUUUGUGGCGAUCAUGCCCUAGAACCAGAAGACAAUUGGAAAUGCCCUAAAGUCCUGCAAUGAGACCCUCCACACCAGGUUAGCUAUUCUGUCUGAGACACCACCUGCGAUUGACUGGGCUUAUGGCAAGACCAAUGUGGCCAAGGCUGGCUUGGUGGAUGAUUUUGAAAAG